GGGCGGGGGCGAAGCUGUAGUGCAGCCGGCGUUGUGCCGCGCAUCGACGGCGGAGCUGCAGUGCAGCCGCCAUUGAUGCUGCAAUGGAGUUUUGCCGGCACUGACGUUGCUGCGUUGCAGCUUUUCCCUCCUCG
rnacentral:pre_miRNA from 1 species